rfam:Raoultella planticola strain GCSL-DIFS-295 CFSAN029441_contig0568, whole genome shotgun sequence.
GAGCAAACCAAAUCCUCAGGUUGCGCUACGUAAAAAUAUCUCUAAAAAUUCUGGCGCAACGACCAGUUCCCUGGUGUUGGCGCAGUAUUCGCGCACCCCGGUUUAUCC